rnacentral:tRNA from 1 species
UCUCUAGUGGUCCAGUGGUUAAGACUCAGCACUUUCACUGCUGUGGCCUAGCUUCAUUCGAUGGCCAGGGAA